GCCUGGGUGGCUCAGUAGGUUAAGCCUCUGACUUCAGAUCAGGUCAUGAUCUCGCGGUUCGUGAGUUUGAGUCCCACGUCAGGCU
rnacentral:tRNA from 1 species